AACGAACGUUGGCGGCGUGGAUUAGGCAUGCAAGUCGUACGCGAAAGAGGGGGCAACUCCUCGAGUAAAGUGGCGAACGGGUGAGUAACGCGUAGGAAACCUGCCUUCGAGAUGGGGGAGUAACACUCCUAACGGGGUGCUAAUACCGAAUGACACUGCGGGAUCGCAUGGUUCUGCAGUCAAAGGUGGCCUCUGCUUGCAAGCUACCACUCAAAGAUGGUCCUGCGUCCCAGU
rnacentral:rRNA from 1 species